UACAGGGGGCGCGAGCGUUGCUCGGAAUCACUGGGCGUAAAGCGUACGCAGGCGGGCCGAUAAGUCUGUCGUGAAAUCCCGGGGCUCAACCCCGGAACGGCGAUGGAGACUGUCGGUCUUGAGUACGGGAGAGGAGAGCGGAAUUCCUGGUGUAGAGGUGAAAUUCGUAGAUAUCAGGAGGAACACCGGUGGCGAAAGCGGCUCUCUGGCCCGAUACUGACGCUCAUGUACGAAAGCGUGGGGAGCAAACAGG
rnacentral:rRNA from 1 species